rnacentral:sRNA from 1 species
AUGCUUAAUGACUAUCAUGGCUGCGCAGACGGAGCAGCCUCUUCUAGUCCUUCACACCUAUGUGCUCUAGCCUCUCCCCAAGGCUGCAGGAGACUGAGAAGAAUACAUACCACUGGUUCAGAAGGGUGACUAGAUAUUCAGAGUAAUGUGACCCAUCCUGAUUGUCACAGAUAUAGAAGGUUUUGAGGCACAAGGGCACAAAGGGACUUUCAAGUAAGUAAUAAUGAAACAGAAGGCUGACGUCAUCUCGCCUCCAAGCUGUAUCUCCACAAGGCCAGGGACCCAGAAGACAACAGGCUGUCCAGGGGAGGGAUGUCCUCUGUCUUGGUUCUUACCUGUCCUUUCCCCCACAGCAAUCUGUCCCCUCCCUGCUGCCUUCAGGACAUUUCACCUGCCACUGUCUUAUCUCCUAUUCUCCAGCUUUUCCAAGAGCUCUCCUCCACAGCCUCUUAAUGACCCCUCUGUCCACCUGCACUCACAUACUGCUGCUGACGGAUACUGAAGUGAACUUCCUAAGGAACUCUGCUCACACACCAAUUUAGAAAUCUCCAGGGAUUCUCGUUAAUGUCAAGAUUAAAUGCAUGUCCUCAACAGAAUGCAGUCGCGUAGGACAUCUUGAACCCUGAGACCCUGCCCUCCUGCCUUUUCAAUGUUGGUACCCAGCAGUCCUCCACAGCCACAUGUUUUACUCAGAUGUGGACAUCACUGCUUUGCACGGUAUAUCACAGCAGUCCCUCGUCAGUUCUAUGGCAACACACCAGGCCAUGGGGCAACUGCCGGACCCCGAAGUCUUUACUCACAGCUGACCUAGUAAGAGUCAGGAUACCACAGUUGCUAUGGAAACUGCUAACACUGCUCUGGAUACCGGGGAUGAAAUGCCUGCCUUGGAAGAAGUCAGAGUUGACACAGGACUUCCCGCACCUUGGGGCUCAUUAAGCUCACCCAGUGGUUUUGCUGGGAAUGGAGAUUCCUGAGUGCCAUUCCUAGACAUCGGGCUCCAGGAAGCAUGGACUUGCUAGACAAGGAAAGCCAUGGACUGUUGCCAGCACCUCUGGGAUUGCCUCACACCCCUGUCACAAUCUGGCACAUGUGUACCGAUCCUGCGUCUGCCUGCCCUUACACAGACUGAUUUCAGCACCCAGAGAUGCCAGGAGAGCACAGAUAACACGGCAGAGAAUUGGAGCUGGCUGCUCAGUUCCUGGGGUAUUGGAAGGACUCUAGCUCAAGUGAUUGAUAAAGCAUUGAGCAGACCUGGACUAUAUAUUAUGGUGGAAUACCAGUAGAAGAAGGUUUACUGUUAGUUACCAGCCACAGAGGGGAGUAUGAGAAAAAUCACAAGUAAAAGCAAAAUGUCACUGGAUCGCAUUAAAACCUAAGAUUAAAGUUAAAGGCUAAGAACCGGCCCUUCUGCCAAUAGAAAUCAGAUCAGGAUGCAAACAAGAGAAUCAUAUCCUUAAGCCACAGAAUAUGUUGGAUAGGCAAUGGCUCUACAGAAGGGGUGGGGGGCAUGAGUGGGGAUGGAGAGAGGGAAGGAAAAAGGGAGA